CGUCUCUGUCGGCUUAAAUGUUACCGCUCUUGAGUCUCCUUCACACUGGUCUCCCAAAGAGUAAAGGCUGGACCCACUACCAGAGAUCCUGCAAGUCCACUUUUGCCUCACACCAUACCUGGUACAACUUACUGUGUAACAGCAAAGUGGACUGUCCCGACCUAAACAGCGAUUGUUUGUCAGGCAGAUGUUUGUGCAAUUUAGGCUUCAACUUCAAUGAUACCAUGAAGGAGUGUGGUGCUCCAAGCGAGCUUAUCAAGUGGCACAAUGUAAGCUGUAUGACAGACAACGACUGCGAUGAGCCACACGCUGUGUGCUACAAACGCCAAGUGUCAGUGUGACCCUGGUACUUCUUCACAACACCUUUUGAUAUUUGCACUAGCACUUGCAGCAAGGACGAGUUGCAGAACAAUUUUACAGAGUAUCCUGACAGCGCUCUACGUGGAAACCACCUUGCUAGCUGGGAUGGAGUCAGUCUGAAAGACUGCAAGGACAGGUGCCUGACUGACACGCGUUGCCUCACCUUUGAUUUCAA